UACGAAGGGGGCUAGCGUUGCUCGGAAUCACUGGGCGUAAAGCGCACGUAGGCGGCUUUCUAAGUCAGGGGUGAAAUCCUGGAGCUCAACUCCAGAACUGCCUUUGAUACUGGAAAGCUUGAGUUCGGGAGAGGUGAGUGGAACUGCGAGUGUAGAGGUGAAAUUCGUAGAUAUUCGCAAGAACACCAGUGGCGAAGGCGGCUCACUGGCCCGAUACUGACGCUGAGGUGCGGAAGCGUGGGGAGCAAACAGG
rnacentral:rRNA from 1 species